rnacentral:lncRNA from 1 species
CGCGCACAAACAAGACAACGAGAGAGAAAGUUGGAGUGUAGUGGAAUUUCAGAGACCAUUUCGAUGAUGGAAAUGGCUCAGGUUGGCGUGCGAACCAGAGCUCGUGCAUUGGCCUUGGCGGCUGCGGCAGCUGCUGCCGCUACUGGCACUGCAAGGAAAAGGAAAGUGAACAAUCGAGAAUUGGUGUUGUCUACAUCAUAUAUUGAACUAAGAAGUACCUCCAGAAGACGCGUCAUAAUUAAGCCUGAGAAUUCAGUUUCAGUUUCAGUUCCACUUCCACCGGAAAUAAAUCCCGGUCACCGGACUGUAAUUCAGGAUAGAUGCUCCAGCCCUAGCACGCAUCACGCCUCAGCUUCUUGUUGCUC